rnacentral:rRNA from 1 species
AUUGAACGCUGGCGGCAUGCCUUACACAUGCAAGUCGAACGGCAGCACGGGGCAACCUGGUGGCGAGUGGCGAACGGGUGAGUAAUGCAUCGGAACGUGCCAUUGAGUGGGGGAUAACGUAGCGAAAGUUGCGCUAAUACCGCAUAUUCUGUGAGCAGGAAAGCAGGGGACCGCAAGGCCUUGCGCUCUUUGAGCGGCCGAUGUCAGAUUAGCUAGUUGGUGAGGUAACGGCUUACCAAGGCGACGAUCUGUAGCGGGUCUGAGAGGAUGAUCCGCCACACUGGAACUGAGACACGGUCCAGACUCCUACGGGAGGCAGCAGUAGGGAAUAUUGGACAAUGGGGGCAACCCUGAUCCAGCCAUGCCGCGUGAGUGAAGAAGGCCCUCGGGUUGUAAAGCUCUUUUGUCCGGAAAGAAAAGCAUCUGGUUAAUACCCGGGUGUUCUGACGGUACCGGAAGAAUAAGCACCGGCUAACUUCGUGCCAGC